rnacentral:rRNA from 1 species
GAUGAACGCUGGCGGCGUGCUUAACACAUGCAAGUCGAGCGAUGAAGUUUCCUUCGGGAAACGGAUUAGCGGCGGACGGGUGAGUAACACGUGGGUAACCUGCCUCAUAGAGUGGAAUAGCCUUCCGAAAGGAAGAUUAAUACCGCAUAAUGUUGAAAGAUGGCAUCAUCAUUCAACCAAAGGAGCAAUCCGCUAUGAGAUGGACCCGCGGCGCAUUAGCUAGUUGGUGGGGUAACGGCCUACCAAGGCGACGAUGCGUAGCCGACCUGAGAGGGUGAUCGGCCACAUUGGGACUGAGACACGGCCCAGACUCCUACGGGAGGCAGCAGUGGGGAAUAUUGCACAAUGGGGGAAACCCUGAUGCAGCAACGCCGCGUGAGUGAUGAAGGAUUUCGGAUCGUAAAGCUCUGUCUUUGGGGAAGAUAAUGACGGUACCCAAGGAGGAAGCCACGGCUAACUACGUGCCAGCAGCCGCGGUAA